rnacentral:rRNA from 1 species
GGCAACAGCUCAAAUUUGAAAUCUGGCCCCUUUGGGGUCCGAGUUGUAAUUUGUAGAGGGUGCUUUGGCGAUGGCCGUGGUCUAAGUUCCUUGGAACAGGACGUCACAGAGGGUGAGAAUCCCGUAUGUGGCCAGUGGCCUCCGCCGUGUAAAGCCCCUUCGACGAGUCGAGUUGUUUGGGAAUGCAGCUCUAAAUGGGAGGUAAAUUUCUUCUAAAGCUAAAUACUGGCCAGAGACCGAUAGCGCACAAGUAGAGUGAUCGAAAGAUGAAAAGCACUUUGGAAAGAGAGUCAAAAAGCACGUGAAAUUGUUGAAAGGGAAGCGCUUGCAGCCAGACUCGCCCGCGGUUGUUCAUCCAGGCUUCUGCCUGGUGCACUCUUCCGUGGGCGGGCCAGCAUCAGUUCGAGCGGUCGGAUAAAGGUCCAGGGAAUGUAGCUCUCUCCGGGGAGUGUUAUAGCCCUGGGCGUAAUGCGGCCAGCCCGGACUGAGGUCCGCGCAUCUGCUAGGAUGCUGGCGUAAUGGCUUUAAGCGGCCCGUCUUGAAACACGGACCAAGGAGUCUAACAUCUAUGCGAGUGUUUGGGUGUCAAGCCCGAGCGCGCAAUGAAAGUGAACGGAGGUGGGAACCCUAUCCUGGGUGCACCAUCGACCGAUCCUGAUGUCUUCGGAUGGAUUUGAGUAAGAGCAUAGCUGUUGGGACCCGAAAGAUGGUGAACUAUGCCUGAAUAGGGUGAAGCCAGAGGAAACUCUGGUGGAGGCUCGCAGCGGUUCUGACGUGCAAAUCGAUCGUCAAAUUUGGGCAUAGGGGCGAAAGACUAAU